UAGGGAAUCUUCGGCAAUGGACGGAAGUCUGACCGAGCAACGCCGCGUGAGUGAAGAAGGUUUUCGGAUCGUAAAGCUCUGUUGUAAGAGAAGAACGAGUGUGAGAGUGGAAAGUUCACACUGUGACGGUAUCUUACCAGAAAGGGACGGCUAACUACGUGCCAGCAGCCGCGGUAAUACGUAGGUCCCGAGCGUUGUCCGGAUUUAUUGGGCGUAAAGCGAGCGCAGGCGGUUAGAUAAGUCUGAAGUUAAAGGCUGUGGCUUAACCAUAGUACGCUUUGGAAACUGUUUAACUUGAGUGCAAGAGGGGAGAGUGGAAUUCCAUGUGUAGCGGUGAAAUGCGUAGAUAUAUGGAGGAACACCGGUGGCGAAAGCGGCUCUCUGGCUUGUAACUGACGCUGAGGCUCGAAAGCGUGGGGAGCAAACAGGACUAGAUACCCUGGUAGUCCACGCCGUAAACGAUGAGUGCUAGGUGUUAGACCCUUUCCGGGGUUUAGUGCCGCAGCUAACGCAUUAAGCACUCCGCCUGGGGAGUACGACCGCAAGGUUG
rnacentral:rRNA from 1 species